rnacentral:piRNA from 1 species
UCUGAGUUUUAGGAGCAGUGGUGUUGAU